rnacentral:lncRNA from 1 species
UUUUCCAGCUGGUUUUGAGGAAGUGAGCUGCCAUGUACUAGGCCACGUGGCAAGGGCCUGGUUGGGGACCUCCAGGGGUUGAGAGCAUCCUCUGGACAACAUGGAAAAAGAAAAUGAAAAUGGUGACCUCAGCCCUAUAGCUAGAAGGAAUUGAAUCCUGUCAACAACGAUACUCAUCACUCACUGCAGAUGUUACUUUAAGACAUUCUGGAGCAGCGUCAUGUGCAGGAACAAUAAGGAAGUGAGUGCUUUUGUAAUUCCUGAACAACUGUGUCUUACACUUACUAAGGGAUUCAUGGGCAAUAUGACUGAAUAGGAACAGCUCCAGUCUGAAGCUCCCAGUGAGACCAACAUAGAAGUUCUCUUGCCUGCCACCAUGUAAGAUAUGCUUUUACUCUUCCGCCUUCCACCGUGACUGUGAGGCCUCCCCAGCCAUGUGAAACUGCCUUUGAGCUUAUACUGAAUUAUACCACCAGCUUUCCUAGGUCUUGAAGCUUACAGACAGCAGAUCUUGGGACUUCUCAGGCACCAUAAUCAAUCAUAGAUAAAUGAUCCAAUGAUUCGGAACUUGAAAAGUGGUAGCUUUAUGAAUUCUCCUUAAGAAGAAACCUGUGCCCUGAUCUUGCCUACUCACCCAAAGGCACUGUGAGAUAGCAUCAAAGGAACAGCUAGUAAGAGACACAGAGCCAGAAAUCAGGGAAGUAAAAUACACUUGACAUCUACGUUCGGAAAGAAAUUUUAGGAGGCAGAAGCAAAUGGAUCAGAAGCUGCUUAUAUUUUUGCAAGAUUACCAAAGAAACCAUUGGUGGAGAAAGUUCUGUGACCAACUUGUCUGAGUCUAGUAAGAUUGAACGCUCACACACAAGUUUCAUGAAGUGGGUUUGAUACUUACAGAUAAGCAGCAAGGACCAACAGAAGCUGAUGAUCUAUGGUGAACUUUUUCCCAAGGCUCCGGAAAGCUGCCUAAAGUAGAUGGAGUCUUCUCUGUGUGUGCCCCACUGGUCCUGCAGUUGAAGGAUCCGGUAAAGCAGCCUGCCCUUGGUUUUAUACUCCAGAGGAACGUGAUUCGCUGGACUAAAGCAUUGAAGUGCAUCCUGUUUCCGGGGGGCACUGGAACAGAGCCUGGUCUGUUCUAGCCAGUCCCUUUCUAUCUCAGGAUAACAUUCUACAGUUAUUCUUGAGAACUAUAAUCAAAUAAGCAGGGAGAACUGGGAAAGCAGAGGCUCAUUGUGGAACCCUCAAGGAGCAUGGGGUCGUCUUCAUCCCUCAGUUUAUAAAUGGCCAAGGAGAGUAAUGCAACAAAAACUUCUCAGAGUUAAAAGCCAGAGUUCCUAAAGAACCGUGGACAAAGGGUUCUGUCUAGUGGGCAGAAUUCAUCCAGCGAAGGUCUCCUAACUACAGAGGGUCACAUCUGGAUCUGAUGGCACCUACAGAACUUGGACUCUGAGCGACAAUCAGUGACCAGGAAAUUUGGAACCCAGGUUUUCCCAACCUACAUCUACAAAAUGGAAUGGGUCUGAUUCGCAAGUUUUCAGAGAAAGAAGCCAACCUUAAUCAGACUGUGAUAUGAUGAGGAAAUAAAACUUGCUGUGCUAAUCAACUGA